AAGAUUUAUCAAAACAUGGAUUGGCAGUAAACUGGUUAGGGUUCUCUAUCUAGCUAAAUGGAUAUAAUCCUAUCAUGAAGCAUGGAUUGCAUAUAAAGGUAAACCCAAUCGUGAGAUAAGUAUUAUAGACAGAGUAAAUAGAUCACAUCCAUAUAUAUAAGGUAACACAACCAAAGGUAGCAUGAGCCUAUUGUCUUCUUGCUAUAGUUCCAGCCAAAGUGGUAACCAAUCUAUGUAGCAUCUUGAUAAAGAGUCAUCUCUCAGUAAGGCAGCUCGCAAGUGGCCUACUUUCUUGUGGUCACCACAAUGAGGUACGCGUUAACUCCUCUGAUUUCCCAAAGCUUUACCUCAAAUGACUCCCACAAAACUCGCCAUCGAUCCUACUCAACAUUACACAAUCGUUCGGCCUUUUCCCUCCCACAUGCUGUCACCACGCAAGGGUAAUCACACCGACUUCCUACGCACUACUAAGAUGUAUCCACAAGACAUAG
rnacentral:lncRNA from 1 species